AUUCAACACAAGCUUCCAAUGCUUUCGACACCGCCACCGAUCAGCUGCGAUCUCAGAAUCCUUGCGUUAAAAGUUCCACUGCUAAAUGGUUUAUGUUUAUCCUUGAAAUUUCUAAAUGCAUACAAAUGUCUCUAUACCUGGGAGUUUAGCUCAAUACGAGGAAUUGCAGAAUCAGAGCAUGGUGCACUCAGCAGAAAGAACACAAAAACAAUAGUAUCAUCGACUGAGGCCCAUAGCUCAUGCCAAUAUGUAAUGGCAAUAACUGUGGCAUAUUUAUACUACUUGAAUCAUAGAAAGGCUAUGACGGUUGCAUCAAGAUGUCUACAUCAGGUAUUUAUCUUAAGAAAUGCAUUGUAUUUAUCUUAAGAAAUGCCUUGCCUGGACUUUUAGAACCAAUUUCAUACUAUAUUUCACAAACAA